UACAGAGGGUGCGAGCGUUAAUCGGAAUUACUGGGCGUAAAGCGCGCGUAGGCGGCUUUGCAAGUCGGGUGUGAAGUCCCCAGGCUUAACCUGGGAACUGCAUUCGAGACUGCAUUGCUAGAGUAUGGGAGAGGGAAGUGGAAUUUCCGGUGUAGCGGUGAAAUGCGUAGAUAUCGGAAGGAACAUCAGUGGCGAAAGCGACUUCCUGGACCAAUACUGACGCUCAUGUGCGAAAGCGUGGGGAGCAAACAGG
rnacentral:rRNA from 1 species